rnacentral:misc_RNA from 1 species
GAUGAAGAACGUAGCGAAAUGCGAUAAGUAAUGUGAAUUGCAGAAUUCAGUGAAUCAUCGAAUCUUUGAACGCACAUUGCGCCCGCCAGUAUUCUGGCGGGCACGCCUGUUCGAGCGUCAUUACAACCCUCAGGCCCCCGGGCCUGGCGUUGGGGAUCGGCGGAAGCCCCCUGCGGGCACAACGCCGUCCCCCAAAUACAGUGGCGGUCCCGCCGCAGCUUCCAUUGCGUAGUAGCUAACACCUCGCAACUGGAGAGCGGCGCGGCCACGCCGUAAAACACCCAACUUCUGAAUGUUGACCUCGAAUCAGGUAGGAAUACCCGCUGAACUUAAGCAUAUCAAUAAGCGGAGGA